GGUCGUGGCUCAGAGGUAGUGCGCUUGCCUAGCAUACAUGAGGCACUGGGUUCGAUCCUUAGCACCA
rnacentral:tRNA from 1 species